rnacentral:rRNA from 1 species
UACAGAGGUCUCAAGCGUUGUUCGGAUUCAUUGGGCGUAAAGGGUGCGUAGGCGGCGCGGUAAGUCGGGUGUGAAAUCUCGGAGCUUAACUCCGAAACUGCAUUCGAUACUGCCGUGCUUGAGGACUGGAGAGGAGACUGGAAUUUACGGUGUAGCGGCGAAAUGCGUAGAUAAUCGUAAGGAAGACCAGUGGCGAAGGCGGCUUCCUGGACCGGUUCUGACACUGAGGAGCGAAAGCGUGGGGAGCGAUCCGG